rnacentral:rRNA from 1 species
AAUAUUUGACUAUGGGCGAAAGCUUUAUCCAGCCAAGCCGCGUGUGUGAAGAAGGGCUUCGGAUUGUAAAGCACUUUAAGAUGGGAUUGAGGGCAGUAAGCUAAUAGAUUGCUGUUUUGACGUUACCGUCAGAAUAAGCACUGGAUAACUUCGUGCCAGCAGCAGCGGUAAUACGAAGUGUGCAAGCGUUAAUCGGAAUUACUGGGCGUAAAGCGCGCGUAGGUGGUUUGUUAAGUUGGAAGUGAAAGCCCCGAGCUCAACCUGGGAAUUGCUUUCAAAACUGACGAGCUAGAGUACGGUAGAGGAUAGUGGAAUUUCCUGUGUAGCGGUGAAAUACGUAGAUAUAGGAAGAAACACCAGUGGCGAAGGCGACUACCUGGACUGAUACUGACACUGAGGUGCGAAAGCGUGGGGAGCAAACAGG